GAUGAACGCUGGCGGCGUGCCUAAUACAUGCAAGUCGAGCGAACAGACGAGGAGCUUGCUCCUCUGACGUUAGCGGCGGACGGGUGAGUAACACGUGGAUAACCUACCUAUAAGACUGGGAUAACUUCGGGAAACCGGAGCUAAUACCGGAUAAUAUAUUGAACCGCAUGGUUCAAUAGUGAAAGACGGUUUUGCUGUCACUUAUAGAUGGAUCCGCGCCGCAUUAGCUAGUUGGUAAGGUAACGGCUUACCAAGGCAACGAUGCGUAGCCGACCUGAGAGGGUGAUCGGCCACACUGGAACUGAGACACGGUCCAGACUCCUACGGGAGGCAGCAGUAGGGAAUCUUCCGCAAAGGGCGAAAGCCUGACGGAGCAACGCCGCGUGAGUGAUGAAGGUCUUCGGAUCGUAAAACUCUGUUAUUAGGGAAGAACAAAUGUGUAAGUACCUAUGCACGUCUUGACGGUACCUAAUCAGAAAGCCACGGCUAACUACGUG
rnacentral:rRNA from 1 species